rnacentral:rRNA from 1 species
UGGGGAAUUUUGGACAAUGGGGGAAACCCUGAUCCAGCCAUCCCGCGUGUGCGAUGAAGGCCUUCGGGUUGUAAAGCACUUUUGGCAGGAAAGAAACGUCAUGUGUUAAUACUCCGUGAAACUGACGGUACCUGCAGAAUAAGCACCGGCUAUCUACGUGCCAGCAGCCGCGGUAAUACGUAGGGUGCAAGCGUUAAUCGGAAUUACUGGGCGUAAAGCGUGCGCAGGAGGUUCGGAAAGAAAGAUGUGAAAUCCCAGAGCUCAACUUUGGAACUGCAUUUUUAACUACCGGGCUAGAGUGUGUCAGAGGGAGGUGGAAUUCCGCGUGUAGCAGUGAAAUGCGUAGAUAUGCGGAGGAACACCGAUGGCGAAGGCAGCCUCCUGGGAUAACACUGACGCUCAUGCACGAAAGCGUGGGGAGCAAACAGG